AGUAUUUAUCCACAGGAUGUGUCAUUAUCUGGAAAUAAAAGCAGAGCUUUGGACAGCUGAAGUAGAGGAGUUUUCGGCGGACACAACAUCUUUGUUUGUAUGUGGUGCUGAGGAUCGAACCCAGGCCGCACGCAUGCCAGAGAUGAAAAGCAAAAGGCACCUGGGAGUGGUGGCGCCAGCCUGGAGUUCCAGGAGGCUGAAGCAGGAGGCCCACUUGAGACCCGAAUUCAGUGUUCCUG